GGAUAAUAGGGAGAAGGGAAGCUAUGAAAAGGGUGUCGAUGCACAGUCCUGCCUGCUUCACUUGACUGACCUAGCCAGUGCCAGUGGAGGCCAUGAUGAAGGAGCAGAUCAGUGGGUCCUUCCCAACCAAGUCUGCCCUCUGACACCCCCAUCGGGGAAGGCCUGCUGUAGCACCUGAUGGUAAUUUAAGCCAGUCUCAACACACAUAUAACUGUUCUGUAGGUGCAAUGUUGUCUCAAGGGUGUUUUAGACAAUAGUUCUCUUGUUUGUUUUAUAUUAUUUUUUUGUGAUCCUCACUGUGUAAUUCAGACUGCCCUGGAGCUGAAUGUAGCCCAUGCUGGCCUUGUACUCUAAGACCCUCAAGCUCUGGCUUUGCAGGUGCCCGGGACCGGAAUUGCCAGGAGUGAGGGCGGACGUCCCACCCCGCACACCCUGCUGUGGUUUCUUUGGUGACGGUAAACAAACCUUGAGUGCCAGCGCUUCAAAUCACCCAGAGACUCCGAGGGCCACCAGAGACCUCUGGGUGAGGCAGGCUCGGAGACUCGAAGACUCGGAAUCCCAGAAUGGCUUCCUCAGAAUGGCCCAUUACCGGUGAUUCGAGCAUGCUGAGAGGCUGAAGCAGGUGGAUCACAAGUUCAAGUUCACAAGAAAACAGAACUCAAGAAAAGAAAAAUGGAAGAAGGAAGAGGCUUCAAAGGAAAAUGGAUGAGUGCUUUUUGUUGAGAGAAAUAAGGCACCCUGCUUAAUUUUGUAAAAUCACUUUGUCUCACCAGACUAUAGCCAGACAAUUGAGGAAAUGGGGGGAAAGCUACUGAAAAAGAUUUAAGAGCGAAGCUGCUAAUUUCAAACUUUAUUCUUUGGCAAUAGAUGAAAGUGCUGAUGUGACAGAUACGGUUCAACUUGCUGUGUUUAAUUAGCAGUAUUAUAGAUUAUGGAUAUAGUAUCACUGAAGAAAUGGCUUCUUUGAUGCCAUUAAAGUACAGCUAGGGGCCGGGGAUUUAGCUCAGUGGUUCCGGUGCCUGCCUCGAAAGCGCAAGGACCUGAGUUCGAUCCCUGGUACCAAAAAAAGAAAACAAAACUAAAAUACAAUUAG
ensembl:lncRNA